rnacentral:rRNA from 1 species
AUGGUCAAACUUUUCAGUCUGCCGGGCGGUGGCCUGCUCCCUCUCGAGCCGCCCGCCGCUUAUCCCGUCUGCUGCCGCUCGCCGCCUGCCGCCCGCCGCUUAUCCCAUCUCCUGCCGCUCUACCGCCGCCCCAGCGCCUCUAUAAGAUGGCCCCCGGCCUCGCUUAUCCACAAGCGGCCGCGGAGGGGCUCGGCUGCCGAGCCGCCACCAGGGGGCGUACCGGCGAGGGGUUGCGUCCACCUUGCCGUCGAGUGCCUCCUCCCCUCCGGCCGCCCCGAUUCCCUCUUCAUCCUCCAGCUCCAGCCCAACCCCGACACCCCGGACGUCAGGCGGGUCUUCCGUCGCCUAGCCAACCUCCUGGCCCCUCGGCGCGAUCCCCAUCCCCGGCUGACACCGCCCUUCGCGCCGUUGAAGAGGCCUUUGCCCACCUCUUGGAGAGCACCUCCACCAGCGCCGGUUUCGCUCCUGCUGCUCCCGGCGGCGUUUCCGUCUCAGAGAUGUGCUCUGGACGGUCUGCCCCCACUGCUGCCAUGUGCAUGAGUACGAGCGCAUGCUGGUGGGGUGUUUGCUUGGGUGCUCGAACCCCUGGUUCAUGUGCGUGUUCGUGGCUACCUAGCCCGCGCGGCUGCCCUCUCCCUGCUCGCCGGUCGCCGCCGCUCGGGUUGUUCGCGCAGGCUAAGCCACGGAUUGUGUACGAAAUAUUCACAACAAAGCAACGAUCAAACAGAGAUCCAGUUACAGCAAAGAUGCGAAAAUUGAGUAGUCAAUAUAGCAGGUGCAGUGUGAACUCCUGUUUUCCCGUAGUAACUUCAGAAAAAAGUCUCUCUACCUGGGUUAAGAAAUUCAGAACUUUACAGUGAGCAGAAUGUGGACCUUAUAAGGUCUACACAUGCAAGAUUCAGGAAUUGGAAACGGAAGUAACACGGCAGAAGUUCUCCACUGGGCUCAAGGGGAUGAAUUGGUUAACUACAGAGCUCUUCAACAUGGUGGCAACCUGGUGAAGAAAUGAGAGGAAGUGGAAGGAUAGAAGGUACGCUUCUGCAGAAUCCAAGUAAGACUUAGUUCCUUACCUAUGCUUGAACAAAGAGCAGCAGACAACAUGUAUGUUAGUGUUUCAAUUUCAAAUGAUGGAAUUUUAUAUCAUUAAUAGUGGUAACUAAUGAUAAGUAACUUUUAGUUCUGCUAAAAUUAUUUUUCUUUUUUGAAUUUCCUCAAAAUGGAAUAGUAAUGAUUUUAAGCUAAAUAAUGAGUUCUCUUUUUGUGUCGCUGGGUAAUAGAAGGAAUAAGAAGCAAGUUUUAUAUAUUAUAUGGAAUACUUCUUUUAAAUAGCUAUUGAGUUAUGACGUGUAGUUUCUUCUUCGUGUGUAUGUUGUUCUUAUGCUAUUUAAGAUGGUGACUAUUUAGUUUACUAUCAUGCGGUUAAUUCUUCGAAAUUCUUGGUCACUUGCUUAGAUAGAGACAAAUAGUGUAUUCUUUAUUUAUUUUUGUGCUGAGAUCUUCAUUUAUAUGCAGAACCAAACAUGUAGGUAGCCUGAAAGUACAUUUAAAACACAAAUCGCCCUAAGAUAUCCCAGUGUGUGGUUUAACCUGAACAUAUCUUAACUUGCAAAUAAGCAUGAUUUUCUUACAACUUGCUUCUCUGAUGCCCCCCUUAUUUGCCUUCUUAAUCGGUAUACUUGGAGUCCACAUCCAAGAUAAAAGCAUCUUGCUCUGUUCACUCAGGUUCUCAGGAGUAUCUCACAAAUGAGUCAUCAUAGGUGAGAGAUGUCUCAUCCAGCCGGACGAUAUUAUUGACUAUUUAAUAGCAGCUGACCAACAGUUUUGGUAAUUAGAGAAGAAGACAAUUCCACAGAAGCAAAGCCAGUUCAUUGGUAGGGAGCUAAAUUAGCAGGCAUGCUACCUGUACUAAAUACAUGUUGUGCUUCCUGUCCCUUCUGUCCUUCUAUAUAUUGAACUCAUUGGCAUAUGAUGUAACCUGUUAAUAUUCUUAAUGAAAUCACCCGUAAUGGGCAUUUUUCUUAAAGAAAAGAUUACAGUAUACCAUGACUAAGGUUUCAUACAGGAUUGUGUCUCCCUUGGUGUUAUUUGCAACAGCUGAGUAGCUCCGGAGAGUGUCAACGUAUGUGCCCAAACUCAAUAGAACGAGCACUAACGAUAGCAGAACUUGAAAAAUCCAGGAGAUGGCUGCUCUCACCAUAUAGUUCAAAGGUUCACUAUCCAAUGAUGCUAUUUAUGUUUAGGGUACUUACUGUAUAACUGGUUAUAACAGAUAUGUUGUUUUAUGAUGACAUAUCUUUAGGAAAGAACAUUCAAAUAGAGAAAUUUUGCUGUGUUAGAUUUUUAUUAUUACCAAGUAUACGAGUUUGCUCUAUCUGGUUGUCUCAAAGUAUUACAGUUAUACGUGAAUAUGAUAAUCAAUUGCAUGUUUGUGAAGAACAGAGGCCUGUAAGUGUGGCGGUAUGGCCUCUUUCUAGAGACAUACUUGACUGCUUAUUAAGUUGUGGGUUGUUUUUUGACAGAUAUAUUUUCUCACUUUCUUACAACAACUUAGUCUCCAGUUAUUGUACAAGUCUGGUGCGCAAGUGUUGUUUCGUUCCAUCUUCAGUUUGAUUAUUGUUGUUUUUUUUGGCGAGAGAAGUUCCCAUCUAUUCAUCAACUGUCAAGGCAGUACAAUUCUUAUUUUUAUUUUUAAAACAGGAUUCCUAGAUCAAAAUUUCUGGGCUGGGACAAGAAAAUGAACAUGCUUCAGUCUCCAGAAUGUAAUAGAUUCAAUAAGGACUGAUUGCAUGGUUUGGGAGAAACUUGGUGCGUUCAGUUCAAUAUAAGGAAAAGCAUGAGAAGGUUGCCUUCACGUAUCGACGAGGCGCGGCGUGCCGCCGCGCGGGUACAUGCUAGUCAUAUGCUAAUACAAUUGUAUUGAAAUGUGUCUUCCUAAUGGAUGGUGGAUACAAUUCUAGACCAAAUAGUGCAAUACUUUUGCGUACUUGCCAUAACUUACCCAUGGUAAUGCCUUAAAUAUAUGUGAUGGUAGGGAGACAAGGAGCAAUUUUUACUGUACUGACUCGAGUACAUCAAGAAUGAAGAUGCACCCAAGAUUUAUGUACGAGAAGUUUUAAACAUAAUAGUAGUCACAGCGUGUGUUGCACGUGCAUGUUUACU